rnacentral:rRNA from 1 species
UACGAAGGGGGCUAGCGUUGCUCGGAAUCACUGGGCGUAAAGCGCACGUAGGCGGAUUCUUAAGUCAGGGGUGAAAUCCUGGAGCUCAACUCCAGAACUGCCUUUGAUACUGAGGGUCUUGAGUUCGGGAGAGGUGAGUGGAACUCCGAGUGUAGAGGUGAAAUUCGUAGAUAUUCGGAAGAACACCAGUGGCGAAGGCGGCUCACUGGCCCGGUACUGACGCUGAUGUGCGAAAGCGUGGGGAGCAAACAGG